rnacentral:rRNA from 1 species
AAAUUGAAGAGUUUGAUCAUGGCUCAGAUUGAACGCUGGCGGCAGGCCUAACACAUGCAAGUCGAACGGUAACAGGAAGCAGCUUGCUGCUUUGCUGACGAGUGGCGGACGGGUGAGUAAUGUCUGGGAAACUGCCUGAUGGAGGGGGAUAACUACUGGAAACGGUGGCUAAUACCGCAUAACGUCGCAAGACCAAAGAGGGGGACCUUCGGGCCUCUUGCCAUCAGAUGUGCCCAGAUGGGAUUAGCUAGUUGGUGAGGUAACGGCUCACCAAGGCGACGAUCCCUAGCUGGUCUGAGAGGAUGACCAGCCACACUGGAACUGAGACACGGUCCAGACUCCUACGGGAGGCAGCAGUGGGGAAUAUUGCACAAUGGGCGCAAGCCUGAUGCAGCCAUGCCGCGUGUAUGAAGAAGGCCUUCGGGUUGUAAAGUACUUUCAGCGGGGAGGAAGGUGUUGUGGUUAAUAACCACAGCAAUUGACGUUACCCGCAGAAGAAGCACCGGCUAACUCCGUGCCAGCAGCCGCGGUAAUACGGAGGGUGCAAGCGUUAAUCGGAAUUACUGGGCGUAAAGCGCACGCAGGCGGUCUGUCAAGUCGGAUGUGAAAUCCCCGGGCUCAACCUGGGAACUGCAUUCGAAACUGGCAGGCUUGAGUCUUGUAGAGGGGGGUAGAAUUCCAGGUGUAGCGGUGAAAUGCGUAGAGAUCUGGAGGAAUACCGGUGGCGAAGGCGGCCCCCUGGACAAAGACUGACGCUCAGGUGCGAAAGCGUGGGGAGCAAACAGGAUUAGAUACCCUGGUAGUCCACGCCGUAAACGAUGUCUACUUGGAGGUUGUGCCCUUGAGGCGUGGCUUCCGGAGCUAACGCGUUAAGUAGACCGCCUGGGGAGUACGGCCGCAAGGUUAAAACUCAAAUGAAUUGACGGGGGCCCGCACAAGCGGUGGAGCAUGUGGUUUAAUUCGAUGCAACGCGAAGAACCUUACCUGGUCUUGACAUCCACAGAAGAAUCCAGAGAUGGAUUUGUGCCUUCGGGAACUGUGAGACAGGUGCUGCAUGGCUGUCGUCAGCUCGUGUUGUGAAAUGUUGGGUUAAGUCCCGCAACGAGCGCAACCCUUAUCCUUUGUUGCCAGCGAUUAGGUCGGGAACUCAAAGGAGACUGCCAGUGAUAAACUGGAGGAAGGUGGGGAUGACGUCAAGUCAUCAUGGCCCUUACGACCAGGGCUACACACGUGCUACAAUGGCGCAUACAAAGAGAAGCGACCUCGCGAGAGCAAGCGGACCUCAUAAAGUGCGUCGUAGUCCGGAUUGGAGUCUGCAACUCGACUCCAUGAAGUCGGAAUCGCUAGUAAUCGUGGAUCAGAAUGCCACGGUGAAUACGUUCCCGGGCCUUGUACACACCGCCCGUCACACCAUGGGAGUGGGUUGCAAAAGAAGUAGGUAGCUUAACCUUCGGGAGGGCGCUUACCACUUUGUGAUUCAUGACUGGGGUGAAGUCGUAACAAGGUAACCGUAGGGGAACCUGCGGUUGGAUCACCUCCUUA